AGUGAACGCUGGCGGUAGGCCUAACACAUGCAAGUCGAACGGCAGCACAGUAAGAGCUUGCCCUUACGGGUGGCGAGUGGCGGACGGGUGAGGAAUACAUCGGAAUCUACUUUUUCGUGGGGGAUAACGUAGGGAAACUUACGCUAAUACCGCAUACGACCUACGGGUGAAAGCAGGGGAUCUUCGGACCUUGCGCGAUUGAAUGAGCCGAUGUCGGAUUAGCUAGUUGGCGGGGUAAAGGCCCACCAAGGCGACGAUCCGUAGCUGGUCUGAGAGGAUGAUCAGCCACACUGGAACUGAGACACGGUCCAGACUCCUACGGGAGGCAGCAGUGGGGAAUAUUGGACAAUGGGCGCAAGCCUGAUCCAGCCAUACCGCGUGGGUGAAGAGGGCCUUCGGGUUGUAAAGCCCUUUUGUUGGGAAAGAAAAGCAGCAGGUUAAUACCCCGCUGUUCUGACGGUACCCAAAGAAUAAGCACCGGCUAACUUCGUG
rnacentral:rRNA from 1 species